UGAGGAAUAUUGGUCAAUGGGCGAGAGCCUGAACCAGCCAAGUAGCGUGAAGGAUGAAGGUCCUAUGGAUUGUAAACUUCUUUUAUAGUAGAAUAAAGUGAGCCACGUGUGGUUUUUUGUAUGUAUACUAUGAAUAAGGAUCGGCUAACUCCGUGCCAGCAGCCGCGGUAAUACGGAGGCUCCGAGCGUUAUACGGAUUUCUUGGGUUUAAAGGGUGCGUAGGCGGAAUAAGAAGUCAGUUGUGAAAGUUGGCGGCUCAACCGUAAAAGUGCAGUUGAUAC
rnacentral:rRNA from 1 species